CCUACGGGUGGCAGCAGUGAGGAAUAUUGGUCAAUGGCCGCCACCCUGAACCAGCCAAGUAGCGUGAAGGAUGACUGCCCUACGGGUUGUAAACUGCUUUUAUGAAGGAAUAAAGUGAGUCACGUGUGCCUUAUUGCAUGUACUUUAUGACUAAGGACCGGCUAACUCCGUGCCAGCAGCCGCGGUAAUACGGAAGAUCCGAGCGUUAUCCGGAUUUAUUGGGUUUAAAGGGAGCGCAGACGGGUUGUUAAGACAGUUGUGAAAGUGUGCGGCUCAACCGUACAACUGCAAUUGAUACUGGGAGUCUUGAGUGCAGGUGAGGUAGGCGGAAUUCGUGGUGUAGCGGUGAAAUGCUUAGAUAUCACGAAGAACUCCGAUUGCGAAGGCAGCUUACCAAACUGUUACUGACAUUGAUGCUCGAAAGUGCGGGUAUCAAACAGGAUUAGAUACCCCUGUAGUC
rnacentral:rRNA from 1 species